rnacentral:tRNA from 1 species
GCGCAGGUGGUGAAAUUGGUAUACACGCAGCGUUCAGGGCGCUGUGGGCGCAAGCCCGUGGAGGUUCAAGUCCUCUCCUGCGCA